GAAAAACAGAUUAACUUGGCCUCAUUUAAAGCCACAGUGGCUCCGGGUUUGUCUGAUAUUUCACAACCAAUCGGGGUUGGUUAACCCCGGCUUACCUCAUCUCUUGCAAGGGGUGUUUUGGUGUGUUUUUAAAGUUACUGAGACAUUUCAAGUCUCUCCCUGCCUCCUUCUCUCCUGCUUUUCUUUCCCUCGGUAGGAAGUUCCUGCCGCAAGUUUUUCCUCUUCGCACUCCCGUGCGCUCCGGUCUCGAAGACCUUGCAACUCCAUCCACCAGCCGAGGGCUUUGGGCUUCCCGUGCGCCCCCUCGCCCCGCGCUCUUCUCGCCUCCUCCCAGCCGCCCGGGUACCGGGUUUCCUCCCUCCUCACUCCCCGGCCUCUGCCCGCUGGGACGCUCGUCGGGUUCGGGCUCCGGGUGACUAACUUCUCCCAGCCACCAGCAGAGGGGCCGGGCAGCCGGGGAGCCGCAGGCGCUUCCUGGCGCGCCGCUGCGCCCUGAGUGCUGCGGUGCCCGGGGCAGGGCCGCCAGCCGCCUGGGAACUCCGCUCCUUUGUGUGCGAGCCCAGGGCUCCCCCUUCUCCGCGCGCCUUUCAUCGGUGCCCGCAAUCUGUCCCUUAAUCCCGGGUGAUUGGAACUUCCUUCGCUUUGCUUUAAGAAGGCAGGGCGAGAAAGUGUUAACUGUGGCAGAAAAUUGAGCUUUUUCUUUUUUUUUUCGUGAGAUUUGCAAAAUUUGUGCCUACACUUUCUCUUCUUCCUCCUGCUUAAAUGAGAAUUAGAUACCCGAAAACAUCCACUCAUGGCUCCAGGCCUUGACUUACUAUCAUUCUCAGAAAUUCCUGUUAGGAGAAGAAAAAAAAAAAAGGACUGGGGCACAGGGGGUUCCGGUCGGUGCUUACUAGUAGAUGAGUGGCGUUGUCACUGCAAGAGCACCUCCCACCCUUCUUCAUUCUUCAGGGCUAAUUAGUGAAUACAUCAGUAAAAGUGAAUCCGGAAUGAUUAGCACAGUUCUGUCUUUCUUACCUUUAAUUUACAGAGAUGCGAAGGAGAGCAGGGGUGCCUCUGUGGAUCCUAAGCUGCAGGUGGUUUUUCCCAGAUCCUUGCUAAGAGACCUGAUCACUUUUUCAGGGAGAGAAUCAGAGGGUCCUGGGGUGAUUCGAGGUUCUCAGGCUGGUGGUGAGCCCCAGGUGGGAAUCUCAGAAUUGUCCAGCAAUGAAGCCUAUUGGCCAGUGCCUAGAGAACCCUCUGGAGUCAGUCAUCUGGGAGGCAGAGUGAAGCAUAUCCUGAGAAUUAGUUCACUUGCAUAAAUGAAAUGAUUGUUGAGACUGGGGACCACCCAACAACCCCUAGUGGAUUCUGAACUACCUCCAGACUUGGCAGGAAAUUGCUGUUGCUUAAGGCCAUCAUCCCCUUCUUAUUCCACAAUCCCUCAGUCUCCAAGUGGUCAGUUGCCCAAAGCCAGUUCUACUAGUUGAAUGUUGUGAGGAACCAGAGAUGUUCAGGAUGAGGAUUUAAAGAAGGAGAACCUAGAUUCCAGUAGUCUUCUUUGUCCUUCCAGUAACCUUAAAGCCUUGUGGUCCUUGUGUCUAUGGAGAGCAAACUCCAGAUGAAUUUUCUUCUUAGUGAAAGUUUUUCUCCUUUUUCAAAACCACUAUAUUUCUCAGUGAAUCAUGCCUCUGGAUUUUAUGCCUCUAAAUUUAAUUACAUAAUGACAUUUGUACUCAGAUUAUUCAAAUGUUUAGAACUAUAUUGGAGAACAGGACAGAAGCAGAUAAAGCUCCAAACAUGAGGAUUCACAAAGAAAGGCACUUAUACAGCUUAUAAAUAUAAUGAGUAAAUUCUUACAUAUUCAGAAAAUUUCUACUUGGGUAUAAUUUUUAUUUUUCUGUGAGAGUAACUUGGAUACUUUAGGAAGUUCAUUUGGUAAUACUUUUCAGAUAUUACCCUAGUGGAUUAGGAUGAAGUGCUGUGUUCCAGAACAAUGAAUGUCUUGUCAGUCCAAGGAAGUAAUUUGCACUGGAUGAGAGUCGUCCAAGUUUUUAUUUUCUUUUUACAGUAGAAAGCUAAAAUAUAUUAGCAGUCGUGUUUAGGUGGACUAAUUGCCACUUCAGUCUUCCAUAAUUCCAAAAAACAGUUUUAUUUGUGCAUUUUUCAUGAGAACUUUUCCCUGCAUUUAUGGAGGAUGUGAUCACACCUGAUAUAUAGUUUUACAUUUCCGAAAAGGAAGCGAGACUUUCUAUGCCAGACAGUUAGAGUAGGAAGUUAUCUUGGAGAUCAUGUAAGGCAACUUCCUCCAUCUACCAAUGAGAAGCUAAGAAUAGAGACCAAAUUGAUUGCCCAUGGAUAAAAAGUCCACUAGCGGCCAGCUCUCCUGAAUCCUUAAGACUUUACUCCCUCCAUUGGUGUUCAAUCUACGACACCUCUUAAAAUCUAUCCAGUUUAACAAAUAUCUGUUAAGGGCUGGCGGCCCUGCUGUGUGAAGUUCUCUGGAGGCACAUAAACAUGAAUAAGCCAUGACUAACGUUCAGAGCAGCUCACAGUUCAGAGAUGGAACCAAUCCUACCAGGAGAUACUUGGGAGUACAAGCUGGAAAAUACAAAUAGGGAGGGAAAAGAGCAAGAGAAGAACUACAGGUGUUCUGAGUGAUGUAUUUCCAGGACAGCUUCAGUCCAUAGGGUUUGUGUAUCCUCCUAAGUAGUAUUUGCUCAAAUUUCCAUUUGUUAAAGUGUCAUUUCCUCCCCCUCCCCAUCUAUGAUUUUACUGAGGAAAUAACUGAUAAUAAAACGUUCCACUCUAACCAAACACUUGGUCCUUACCUCCCAUGGAGGAGAAUCACAGCCUCUCAACUCCGUGCAAUAAUUUUCCUUUCCCGCAUAAAGAUCCCUACCCCUGGCCUUGCUGAAUUUUGAGCUUCCUUAGUAUCAUCUCCCUCUGAGGCCUGAUGGUGGGUGCAGGGAGCAGAACCUUCCCUCCACCCCCUGGGGGUUAAGGCCCUUUAGGAAUGCCUUAAAGACAACGGGCCAGCCCUCCCUCAGGCGCUACUCAGCUUUGCAAGUUCUAGUUCUCAGAAGACUUGCUUCAGAACUAGAGUUUAUUUUAGUCACCUCGUGCAGUGCAAUUAUGCUGUAUUGGUUUCUUUGUGACAGGCUUACUUCUCUUAGCAGAAUGUUCUCCACGUUCAUCCAUGUUAUCGUCUAUAAAAUCGUCAAACUCAUAGAAGUGGAGAGCAGAUUGGUGGUUGCCAGAGGGGGAAGGGGGAAAUGGGAAUUGCUGUUCAAAGAGUACAGAGUUUCAGUUCUGCCACAUGAAUAAGUUCUAGAGAUCUGCUGUACAUCACUGACAUCGUGCCUACGGUUCACAAUACUGUAUUGUACACUUAAAAAUGUAUUGAGGGUAUACUUCUGUGUUAAAUGUUCUUAACACAAAGCAAAACAAACCAAAGAGUACACUUUGGGAAUAUGGAAAGGAAUGUAUUUACUAUGUUAGCUUUGAUAUGAAUCCUAAGUUUUUAGAGGAUGAAACUCUACCUGAUCAGUCCUUCUCUCCUUUCCCAACCCUUUACCUCCUUCUACAAAUCUUAUUUCCCACAAUGGUCUAACAUGCACCUGGACACACCAAUCCACAUGUACAAUCUCGCACACAUUGGACACAUAACACACAUCAACAUAUGCAUGCACGCACACACAGUCACCCCUAACUCAGUUUCCCCUCUAGGCUGCACUGACCUGUGCAUAGAAAGUCCUGAGAAUAAAGCUGGAAUAAUAAGACAGGGUAUGACACCAACUUCUCUUUGCCCUUUGCAAAGAAAACUUUCUUGAGACAGGCGUAGUAGAUAAUUUUUUUUUUUUGUAGCGAAAUUUACUUCAAUUCCUGAUAAAACUUAAAACUGUUGUCUCUGCUAUCUGCCUAGGACGUAUUACACAGCAUUCUCUCUGUUGUGAUGGAUAGCAUACACUUCAGAGUCAGUUUUACUUAAUAUUAUGAAAAAUAAAUUUUUGAAAAGAUAGAUUUUUAUUUCUCUUAUACACAGAAAGUUUAUUCUUUAUAAAAGUCUUCAAAUGAAUAAUGUACAUGUGUAUUAUUUAAGACAUACAGGUGCUAUCUGUAAAGUAAAACCGACAAGUCAGUUUUUAUGCUGACCAGCUGUGAAAUGUUGUUUUAGCUUUUCUCACACAAUUAUGCGCAUAUUACUUGCUUUUAUGAGUUACCCAGGUUCUUUUUUUUUCCCCCUUUAUUUUCCGGAAAUCAUCUCAAAAUCAAACCUUAGUGGAAACACAUGGAAAAUCAGGAAUUUCCAGCCUAAAGUAAUUUGAAACACUUGAGGUUUUUAUGUUUUCCUUCAUGAUGGCAAAUUCAAGCAAAGAUUUCGAAUUCCAUAAUGAGUAGUAAUUGCACUGGUAGGAGUUGUUGUUUCAUAGCAACAAUUAAUUGUUUUUUUUUAAGUUAAGGUUUCAUGGUAACAACACCUUACUCAAGCUCCGGAGUAUCACAGUCUUCCUCAACACUACUCAAUCUCUCUGUGUUAAUGUUUUUGCCUUAUUCUGGUCAGUAAAGUAAGACACUGACCUGUUAAUCUAAACAAAGUUGAUAAACACCAAUUGGUUACUGCCUCACUCCCCCUGGGCAGGCAGGAACUAGAAACAGGAAACGUGUAGUCAAUAAGCUUACCGCCCACUCACGAUGCUGAGGUCACUGCAAGUCUCUUCAGUGGUUUAAGAAAGAUACCCAGUAUCAUUUUUUCAUGACUGUCCAUGGACUAAUAUGUAUCUCUCUAACACACAGCUUUCCCAGUCAGGCACUAACAGAUGGAAGAGCAGAUGAUCCUCCAGGAAGACAGGGGUUCAGACAACCAGACUUGAGCCUGUGGGAAACUUCCUUUCACCAGUAGCUGGAACACCCCAGAGUCCCAACACAAUUGCUAUCUCUGAUCUUUGAAAAUAUGAGCAGAUGAGCUUGAGGCAGCUGGAAGAGACAGGGAAGUAGAGUUUGAUUGAUUUCUAGUUCAAGGAACUCAUCUUUGACCGCGUUUUCCUGCAUUCUUCCCCAAAGCCAGAUUCUUGCUUUUGCUUCUCUCUUUUUCUCAUUUCGGGAUCCUCUUCCAAUCCAUCCAUCCCCUUUCCAGUCCAGGUGCGUGAUAAAACCGAGAUUCCUCUUGUCCUUCAGGCAUAUGGAACAUCAAAUUUUUAGAGAACAGAUCUGGGUAGGAAAGGAUGAAGUUGUACUCAUAACAUUCAAAUCUGUGUUCAAAAUCAUCCCCUAAAGGGAGUCCUCACUGAUGUAGAAAAGAUGUUAAGGUUUGAAGCUGAUGGCCAAGAAAGAAUUCUUGAGACAUCUUUGGUGCAAAAAGAGCGUGAGGACUGCUACCCUCAUUUACACAUGCCUCCAGCACCUCCAAAACAGACCUGUGCUUAACUGAUUUCAGUUAAAUCAAUCUCAUUUAAUCCCACAGGAUUUAAGUGAGGAGAGACAAAGCAAAAAUAAUAAUAAUAAUAAUAAUAUAAUUCUUGUUUAUUCUUUACGAUCUUGGCCUGAGUGGAAGGAAGAGAGAAAGAAUUAUAGUUCAUGAAAAGAACCAUGAUUCUAACUCAGCUUAAUAGAAAUUUUUGCGUUCUAGACCCCUAAAUCCAGACGAGAAUUCAGGUAGUUGUCGGUACUUGAGGGAGGAUUCAAUGACUCUUGUCUUUCCCACCACAUGAUGUAAUCUAUCAGACCCUUAGGAUUAGUGGAUAUGGUAUUCACAUUUCCAAUCACUGGGUAGUUCCCUGAAGAAUUUAUGUAUAUAGUACACACCAAUUCAUAAUUUGAAAUGUGGUCAUCUUAUACAGCUCUUUGGCAUUUCUGGUUCUGUGUCUUGUUUAUUUCAUUUUGAAUACUCAUUAUCUCGUAGCAAGCAACUAACGUAAAGAGAUUGAGCAAAAACUAAAACCACAACUCUUUGUUUCUUCAAAAAGAACCAUCUAAAACCUCACAAUGUGACCUUAUCCGGAAAUAGGGUUUUUGCAGAUAUAAUUAGUAAAAAUGAGGUCAUACUGGGAUUAGGCAAGGCUCUAAAUCCAAUGACUGGUGUCCUAAAAAAUCGCAGAUACACACACACACACACACACACACACAGAGGGAAGAUGGCCGUGUGGAGAUGAUACAGAGGCUGGAGAGACACAACAGCUCAAACCAAGGAAGGCCAAGGAAUCAGGAGAAGCCAGGAAGAAGCAAGGAGGGAUUCUCCCCUAGUACCUCCAGAGAGAGUGUGGCCUUGCUUACACUUUGAUUUUGGACUUCUAGUUCCCAGAAGGAGUGACAAGAACAUAAGUAAGCCUGUGCUUUAAGACAGAAAAGAAGAUGGAAACAGUUGAAAGGAGAAUCCAGUGGUGGCUCAGACCAACACGUGAACAGUUUCACCUCUGCUGCCCGGAGGCAUAAGAAAAGGAGGUAGAUGAGUCGGAACCUCUAGGUGGUUAGUGCAAUGCAGAGUUUACUCACCAGUGAGAUAAACAUUUGAAAAAAGUUGCAAGAUGGCAAAAUGUGUUUUUAUGCACAAAAAGUACACCACAGUGAAUCGCCAAUAAAGUGAGGUUGAAGGGAAAGGCAAGAGAGUGCAAACUUUUCUAUAAAGCUACAGGGGGUGAACACAAAGCACCAGCAGUUGGAUUAAACAUGCCUGGGGUAAAAUGUUGGUUUGAAACUUCCAGAAUCAUUGUAUUUUUUGCCACAUGUGAAGUCAACAAAUGCAUUAUUUCACUCAUUGCCCCACAGAUGUUUUGAAGAGAAGCUUGUAAGAAGAAAUAAUAUGUGCAAUAAGGAAAAUACCUUCCCAAAUGCUCAUCCACGAGAUGGGUAAAAAAACAUGGGAAUUUAAAGAGGCCAAGGAUAAACUGACUCAUCUACUUUUGUGGCAAUGUAGCAUAUUUUGGGAUUAAGACUCACUUGUUUUCCUGUUCUGUCAUUUCCCAACCUUAAGGGACUUGAAUAAGAACUCCUUGAAUGUUUAUUGACAUUCCAUUAAAAAGAGUAUAAGGCAUGGCCAAAGUCUUUUAUUUUUUUCCUUCAAAAAUGUCCACAAGUACUUUGUGCUUAGGUAGGAUUUUAAAAUGUGUGGGUUCUCAAUGUUUUCUUCAUAGGAUGGAGUAGGAUGCUUUCUCUUUCUUAAUUUUUCUGCUGCAACAGGGAAAAUAAAUUUCCACCCUCUAUAAAGCAGUGGAUCUCAGGUAUUUUGGACCCUGCUAUCCCUUUAAAAAUUACUGAGAACCUCUAAAUAUUUGGCUUAUGAGCAGUCCUCAAUAUGUGGUUAUAUCUACUAAUAGUUAUGAUAAUAGAAAUGAGACCUUAAAAAUAAGUAUUUGUUGAUUCAUUUACUAUUAACAGCAAUAAACCUAUUCAAUGCUAA